AUUGAACGCUGGCGGCAGGCCUAACACAUGCAAGUCGGGCGAGCGGAGGACGGGUGAGUAAUGUAUGGGGAUCUGCCUGAUGGCGGGGGAUAACUACUGGAAACGGUAGCUACUACCGCAUACCAUCAGCUGAACCCAGAUGGGAUUAGCUAGUUGGUAAGGUAACGGCUUACCAAGGCGAAGAUCCCUAGCUGGUCUGAGAGGAUAAUCAGCCACACUGUGACUGAGACACGGCCCAGACUCCUACGGGAGGCAGCAGUGGGGAAUAUUGGACAAUGGGCGCAAGCCUGAUGCAGCCAUGCCGCGUGUGUGAAGAAGGCCUUCGGGUUGUAAAGUACUUUCAGUCGGGAGGCGUUACCGACAGAAGAAGCACCGGCUAACUCCGUGCCAGCAGCCGCGGUAAUUC
rnacentral:rRNA from 1 species